rnacentral:rRNA from 1 species
UACAGAGGGUGCAAGCGUUGUUCGGAUUUACUGGGCGUAAAGGGCGCGUAGGCGGCCUUCUAAGUCGGACGUGAAAUCCCCGGGCUCAACCCGGGAACUGCGUCCGAUACUGGAAGGCUUGAAUCCGGGAGAGGGAUGCGGAAUUCCAGGUGUAGCGGUGAAAUGCGUAGAUAUCUGGAGGAACACCGGUGGCGAAGGCGGCAUCCUGGACCGGUAUUGACGCUGAGGCGCGAAAGCCAGGGGAGCAAACGGG